UAAGCAGGCUGCAAUUACAGUGCUUCAUUCUGUGGGAGUACUGCCAUUUCCCUGCUAAGAGUAAUCCUGUUAAUGCUUUGGUUUCACCUGUACAGUGGUGAAAUGAUUGGUUCUUAACAUGGACAAGU